AAUUCCCUGGAGGAUUUGAGUUAGAAUUCAGACAGGCUGGCAAAACUGUGUGAGACGGAGAAAGCAAAAUGUAAUUAGUAUUCCAUGGAUGACAAAAAAAGGGCUGUUGUUCCCUUUCUUUGAAACAGAGGCUGAUUAAGAGGCCUGUCUGCAGAAAGCAGAUGGUGAGUCGAACACCUGCCUCACACCUAGGCAAGAUGGCCGCAAUACUGAGAAGUCGAGCCAGUCUAGGAAUCUACAAGGGCCAAGCCUAUUCGACGACAGUAGUCACAUGGACUAUCCUGGGGCAGGACGGGUCAGAAGAACCACAUAGUGAGGGUAACUGACCCCGCCUCUUCCAGUCCCUGGGCUAUAAAAACAUGACAGCCUGGAGGGAGGUAUCACUUCUUUCCAGAGCAAUGGAGCUCCGCAACCUUUAAACAGUGGACAAAAGAGCCAUAAUUAUAACAGCCAAGAUCAUCAGAAGAGAAGACCAGCUAAAGCCCAACCAGCUUCCUCAUCCUUCCUCCAGACCACGCCCUCCUACUGACCUCUCUUCUGCCAGUUUUCUCUUGGACCUGCCUCUUCCUGCCCACUGCCUAUAAAGACCAGCCAAUUCACCUUUCCUAUCAGUCUCAUUUUGGACACAGUCCUUUAAGACUACUAAUUUGUGACAAUAUACAGGGUGGAUCCCCAAA